CAUAACAUUAAGUAACGGUGUGACAUGUUUCAUACAGUUCCAUACAUUAGAACGGAAUGGUACGCACUACGUCUACGCUAACGCAGCCUGUGUGAACGAGUUAU